rnacentral:misc_RNA from 1 species
UUUCCGUAGGUGAACCUGCGGAAGGAUCAUUAAAAAUGAAGCCGGGAAACCGGUCCUUCUAACCCUUGAUUAUCUUAAUUUGUUGCUUUGGUGGGCCGCGCAAGCACCGGCUUCGGCUGGAUCGUGCCCGCCAGAGGACACAACUCUGUAUCAAAUGUCGUCUGAGUACUAUAAAAUAGUUAAAACUUUCAACAACGGAUCUCUUGGUUCCC